rnacentral:rRNA from 1 species
UACGUAGGGUGCAAGCGUUAAUCGGAAUUACUGGGCGUAAAGCGUGCGCAGGCGGUUAUGCAAGACAGAGGUGAAAUCCCCGGGCUCAACCUGGGAACUGCAUUUGUGACUGCACGGCUCGAGUGCGGCAGAGGGGGAUGGAAUUCCGCGUGUAGCAGUGAAAUGCGUAGAUAUGCGGAGGAACACCGAUGGCGAAGGCAAUCCCCUGGGCCUGCACUGACGCUCAUGCACGAAAGCGUAGGGAGCAAACAGG